CCUACGGGUGGCUGCAGUGGGGAAUAUUGCACAAUGGGGGAAACCCUGAUGCAGCGACGCCGCGUGAGUGAAGAAGUAGCUCAGUACGUAAAGCUCUAUCAGCAGGGGAGAAAAUUACGGUACGUGACUAAGACGCCCCGGCUAACUACGUGCCAGCACCCGCGGUCAUACGUAGGGGGCAGGCGUUAUCCGGAUUUACUGGGUGUAAAGGGAGCGUAGACGGCAGCACAAGUCUGGAGUGAAAUCCCGGGGCUUAACCCCGGAACUGCUGUGGAAACUGUGGGGCUGGAGUGCAGGAGGGGUAAGCGGAAUUCGUGGUGUAGCGGUGAAAUGCGUAGAUAUUAGGAGGAACACCGGUGGCGAAGGCGGCUUACUGUACUGUAACUGACGUUGAGGCUCGAAAGCGUGGGGAGCAAACAGGAUUAGAUACCCCAGUAGUC
rnacentral:rRNA from 1 species